GAUGAACGCUGGCGGCGUGCCUAAUACAUGCAAGUCGAGCGAACGGACGAGAAGCUUGCUUCUCUGAUGUUAGCGGCGGACGGGUGAGUAACACGUGGAUAACCUACCUAUAAGACUGGGAGAACUUCGGGAAACCGGAGCUAAUACCGGAUAAUAUUUUGAACCGCAUGGUUCAAAAGUGAAAGACGGUCUUGCUGUCACUUAUAGAUGGAUCCGCGCUGCAUUAGCUAGUUGGUAAGGUAACGGCUUACCAAGGCAACGAUGCAUAGCCGACCUGAGAGGGUGAUCGGCCACACUGGAACUGAGACACGGUCCAGACUCCUACGGGAGGCAGCAGUAGGGAAUCUUCCGCAAUGGGCGAAAGCCUGACGGAGCCACGCCGCGUGAGUGAUGAAGGUCUUCGGAUCGUAAAACUCUGUUAUUAGGGAAGAACAUAUGUGUAAGUAACUGUGCACAUCUUGACGGUACCUAAUCAGAAAGCCACGGCUAACUACGUG
rnacentral:rRNA from 1 species